GAAUACGCUCCCGAGGGUGUGCGAAUGGCAAAGGCAACUAGGGUUGGCGGUGUGGUUGCGUGAGAGACUGAGAGCGAGAGAGAAAGAGAGAGGUGGCUCAUGGUUGUGCCUGUGCGAGACUGAGAGAGAGAGAGAGAGAAAGAGAGAGGCGGCUGUGUGAACAAAAAGUGGGAAAAGGUAAUUAGGGUUAGAAAGAAAAUGUGUGAAAUUUAUUUCAUGAGCUAUGGGCCAUGAGUNUCUCUAGUAGAUAGGAAUCGGAUUUUAUUUCUCACUUUUCAGGUGUCGAAAUGACAUAAAACUUUAAAUCUAGCCUCAUAAAAAUAAUUUCAACAUAUACCCAGACUUUCAUAAUUUUCUGACACUCUGAAUUUUCUGCUAAAAUAUCAGCCCCGUUUCUCACAGAGAAGUCUAAAUCUUCUGUUUUCGUUUCGAUUUCAACACAAGCCAUUCCAGACUUAUAUUUUGUUUCUUUAAGUCCAAUAAAAAUAGUAUCUUACACCAUU
rnacentral:lncRNA from 1 species